GGGCCAGUGGCGAAAUGGAUAACGUGUCUGACUACGGAUCAGAAGAUUCUAGGUUCGACUCCUGGCUGGCUCG
rfam:Salmo salar isolate Sally breed double haploid chromosome ssa12, whole genome shotgun sequence.